AUGAAGGCCGGGAGGAAGAACCUGCGGCGCGCGUCGCAGGAGGGCACCGCCGUCACGCUCGCGGAGAACGAGAGCAUCAUGCAGGUCGUCACGCUGCGUGGCUCCAACCUCAUCGAGGUCACAGACGGCGAGGGCGUCAAGUCUCUCGCCCUGAUCCCCGCCAAGUUCCAAAAGUGUUUCUGGAUCAAGAACGGGAAUUUCGUGGUUGUUGAUGCUAGUGGGAGGGACGAGGCUCUAGAAUCUGGAAGCAAGAUAGCCUGCGUCGUGUCGCGAGUCCUCUUUCAUGACCAAGUUCGUGCGCUCCAGAAAUCUGGCGAAUGGUGA
rnacentral:rRNA from 1 species